rnacentral:tmRNA from 1 species
GGGCUUGUACCGGUUUCGACGGGGGUCCAGAACUUAGGAUAGCCAUCCGCGGCCUCAUACCGCGUCAACAAAUGAGAACUUAAAUUUAAACGCAAACAAUAAGUAUGCGGUAGCAGCCUAAGCGCUGCUUGUCGCCCGCACUUAGCCUACUGAGUGCGGAUACGGCAUCAAACAGGUAGGGAACCUCACGCGCAAAGCUUUGAGCGUGCGAGAGAACUAUGAAGCUACCGGCGUUGCCGGUUUGUCAUUUGUCUUGCAGCUUCGGGAAUCUUUAACAAAUGACUGUGAUGGGAGAAAUCUUAACGGAAGGGCUUUCGGACGCGGGUUCGACUCCCGCCAGGUCCACUA